rnacentral:rRNA from 1 species
CAGUAGCCGCGGGAAUACGGAGGGAGCUAGCGUUGUUCGGAAUUACUGGGCGUAAAGCGCACGUAGGCGGUUACUCAAGUCAGAGGUGAAAGCCCGGGGCUCAACCCCGGAACUGCCUUUGAAACUAGGUGACUAGAAUCUUGGAGAGGUCAGUGGAAUUCCGAGUGUAGAGGUGAAAUUCGUAGAUAUUCGGAAGAACACCAGUGGCGAAGGCGACUGACUGGACAAGUAUUGACGCUGAGGUGCGAAAGCGUGGGGAGCAAACAGGAUUAGAGACCCGUGUAGUCCCUGUCUCUUAUAC